CCUACGGGGGUCAGCAGUGAGGAAUAUUGGUCAAUGGCCGGAAGGCUGAACCAGCCAUGCCGCGUGAAGGUCAGUGCCCUAUGGGCGUUAAACUUCUUUUGUGCGGGAGCAAUAAUGGUCACGUGUGGCCAGACGAGAGUACCGUACGCAUAAGCAUCGGCUAACUCCGUGCCAGCAGCCGCGGUAAUACGGGGGAUGCAAGCGUUAUCCGGAUUUAUUGGGGUUAAAGGGUGCGUAGGCUGUGAGGUAAGUCAGCGGUGAAAUGCCCCCGCUCAACGGGGUGAAGUGCCAUUGAUACUGCCUUGCUGGAAUGCGGAUCCCGUGGGAGGAAUGUGUGGUGUAGCGGUGAAAUGCAUAGAUAUCACACAGAACACCGAUUGCGAAGGCAUCUCACGAAUCCGCGAUUGACGCUGAUGCACGAAAGCGUGGGUAUCAAACAGGAUUAGAUACCCCAGUAGUC
rnacentral:rRNA from 1 species